AGUUGAUCCUGGCUAGGAUGAACGCUAGCUACAGGCUUAACACAUGCAAGUCGAGGGGAAACGAUAUUGAAAGCUUGCUUCUUAGGCGUCGACCGGCGAAUGGGUGAGUAACGCGUAUCCAACCUGCCCCUGAGUAAGGGAUAGCCCAUCGAAAGAUGGAUUAAUACCUUAUGGUUUCCUUUGAAGGCAUCGGAUUAGGAAUAAAGAUUUAUCGCUGAGGGAUGGGGAUGCGUCUGAUUAGCUUGUUGGCGGGUAACGGCCACCAAGGCGACGAUCAGUAGGGGUUCUGAGAGGAAGGUCCCCCACAUUGGUACUGAGACACGGACCAAACUCCUACGGGAGGCAGCAGUGAGGAAUAUUGGUCAAUGGGCGCAAGCCUGAACCAGCCAAGUAGCGUGCAGGACGACUGCCCUAUGGGUUGUAAACUGCUUUUAUACGGGGAUAAAGUCAGAGUCGUGACUCUGUUUGCAGGUACCGUAUGAAUAAGGACCGGCUAAUUCCGUGCCAGCCGCGGC
rnacentral:rRNA from 1 species